GUGCUUGCUUUGGUAGCACAUAUACUAAAAUUGGAACAAUACAGAGAAAAUUAGCAUGACCCCUGAAGAAAGAGGUAUGCAAAUUCAUGAAGCAUUCCAUAUUUUU
ensembl:snRNA U6 U6 spliceosomal RNA